rnacentral:sRNA from 1 species
GGGUAAAAAAAGGCUCGGGACGAAUGGGGGGUGUCCCGAGCUCAGGGGAAUGGCUCAAUGAUUUGAGCCGUGCGCUAACUCAUAAAAACGAACCAGGACAAUUAGUUUAGACAACAAAAAAAUAAAACGCCUAAUUUUUCCGCAAUUU